UGGGGAAUUUUGGACAAUGGGCGCAAGCCUGAUCCAGCCAUGCCGCGUGCGGGAAGAAGGCCUUCGGGUUGUAAACCGCUUUUGUCAGGGAAGAAAUCUUCUGAGUUAAUACCUCGGGAGGAUGACGGUACCUGAAGAAUAAGCACCGGCUAACUACGUGCCAGCAGCCGCGGUAAUACGUAGGGUGCAAGCGUUAAUCGGAAUUACUGGGCGUAAAGCGUGCGCAGGCGGUUUUGUAAAACAGAGGUGAAAUCCCCGGGCUCAACCUGGGAACUGCCUUUGUGACUGCAAGGCUUGAGUGCGGCAGAGGGGGAUGGAAUUCCGCGUGUAGCAGUGAAAUGCGUAGAUAUGCGGAGGAACACCGAUGGCGAAGGCAAAUCCCCUGGGCCUGCACUGACGCUCAUGCACGAAAGCGUGGGGAGCAAACAGGAUUAGAUACCCUGGUAGUCCACGCCCUAAAACGAUGUCAAACUGGUUGUUGGGGAAGGUUCCUUCUCAGUAACGUAGCUAACGCGUGAANUUGACCGCUGGGGAGUACGGCCGCAAGGUUGAAAACUCAAAUGAAUUGACGGGGUCAUAGCUGUUUCCUG
rnacentral:rRNA from 1 species